rnacentral:misc_RNA from 1 species
GUGAAUCAUCGAAUCUUUGAACGCAAAUUGCACUUUCCUCGGAGAGUAUGCCUGUUUGAGGGUCAGCAUAUAAAAAAUAGACAUGGUUGAUGUUUCGGGGUGGCGUUAGUCGGAAAUUGGGUCAUCUUUAAUCUUUUGGUUUUAAGCGACUUAACAUUUUUUGUUUGGUUCCAUGAACGUUGAUAAGAUUUAUUUAUUUACAUGUUUAAGGUAUCGUUUUUUAUUAGAAGCGACAAUAAUAUCGGAACGCGCAAAUAC